rnacentral:misc_RNA from 1 species
UCUCCGUUGGUGAACUAGCGGAGGGAUCAUUACCGAGUUUACAACUCCCAAACCCAAUGUGAACCAUACCAAACUGUUGCCUCGGCGGGGUCACGCCCCGGGUGCGUCGCAGCCCCGGAACCAGGCGCCCGCCGGAGGGACCAACCAAACUCUUUCUGUAGUCCCCUCGCGGACGUUAUUUUUACAGCUCAGAGCAAAAAUUCAAAAUGAAUCAAAACUUUCAACAACGGAUCUCUUGGUUCCG